rnacentral:tRNA from 1 species
GCCAGCGUAGCUCAGUUGGCAGAGCAGCUGAUUUGUAAUCAGCAGGUCGUGAGUUCGAAUCUCUCCGCUGGCU